UUGACUUUUUGACCGAGAAAGAAUUUGGAAAAUCCACUUGUACCAUUGCAUAGAGCACGACAAAACGAGUCCGUAGACACGUAAUGGGCUCAAUUCCGAGUCGUAUUGAAGAUAAUACGAUCAAAAUACGAAAAAGGGCAAAAUUGAAAUUUUGGAAAAAAAAUCAGAUUUUAAAAUCAGACCCUCCCUUUCUCUCUCCUCACUCUCUCUUCUUCCUCGCGACAUCUUCCCCCCUCUGGUUUUCCAGCCGACAUCACCCCUCCUCCCAGCCACCACCAGCGACGCCGGCCAGCCCAGAUCAGACUGGCGACUCCCCAGCCUCCUUGCUCGACGUCCUCCCCCGCCGCCUGCCGCCACGAAUCGCUGGAGAGAACCAGAAAAUCGCGGCAGAUUUUCUCCGAUUUUCAAAUCCCUCAAACUCCCUCCUCCGGCCACCAAAUCGGACGAAUUAGGCACCCGGGCACCAGGUGACCCGCAGGAGGGACCUUCAAAGGGUCCAGCUAGCUCAGAGUAUCUGUGAGUGGACUGUUUGUUUUAUAAACGUUUUAUGCAUUUUAAUUUCAUUAUUUGAUCUUGAAUAAGUUUUACUGAAUACAGCUUUCCUAGCAUGACUUGAUAGAUUUAAAUAUUUCUGUUUAUUUAUGUGCUGCCUAGUGGAACAUUUAAAAAGGGAUUUGGAAAGUUAGAACUGAGGUAUUAUCAGAUUAAAUGGCAGCAGGAUUUAAGGAAUAGUUUUAUAAGUAG